GGGGUUGUGGCUCAGCAGAAGAGCGCUCGCUUAACACGUGUGAGACCCUGAGUUCGAUCCUCAGCACCA
rnacentral:tRNA from 1 species